AGAGUAAAAGCCGGAGCGUGAAGUGUUGACGGAACGGGGAGUUGUCUGUCAAACGAAAAGGAAAAAGCCUUGCGGUUCCGGUUUUGCAUCCCGCU
rnacentral:ncRNA from 1 species